rnacentral:lncRNA from 1 species
CCAAUUCCUAUGUGCACCCAGUGCACCCCCAUUCUUGCGUGCCCUGCACCCAGUGCAUCUCCAUUCCUCCAUGCCUUGCACCCAGUGCACCCCCAUUCCUGUGCCCUGCACCCAGUGCACCCCUAUUCCUAUGUCCUGCACCCAGUGCACCCCAAUUCCUGGGCACUGCAUCCAGUGUACCCCAUUACUGCACGCCCUGCACCCAGUGCACCCCCACUCCUGGGCACUGCACCCAGAGGACCCCAAUUCCUGUGCCCUGCACCCAGUGCACCCCCAUUCCUGCACCCAGUGCACCCCAGUUCCUGUGCCCCACACCCAGUGCACCCCCAUUCUUGCACACCCUGCACCCAGUGCACCCCUACUCCUGGGCACUGCACCCUAUGAACCCCUAUUCCUAUGUCCUGCACCCAGUGCACCCCCACUCCUGCGCGUGUCACACCCAGUGCACCCCCAUUCUUCCAUGCCUUGCACCCAGUGCACCCCUUUCCUGCAUGCCCUGCACCCAGUGCACCCCAUUCUUGCACGCCCUGCACCCAGUACAUCUCCAUUCCUCCAUGCCCUGCACCCAGUGCACCCCCAUUCCUGGGCACUGCACCCAGUGCACCCCCAUCCCUGCACACCCUGCACCCAGUGCACCCCCACUCCUGCGUGUGUUGCACCCUGUGGACCCCAGUUCCUGUGUCCCGCACCCAGUGCAUCUCCAUUCCUCCAUGUCCUGCACCCAGUGCACCCCCAUUCCUGUGCCCUGAGCCCAGUGCACCCCCAUUCCUGCGUGCCCUGCACCCAGUGCACCCCUAUUCCUAUGUUCUGCACCCACUGCACCCCCAUUUUUACAUGUUCUGCACCCACUGCACCCCCAUUCUUACAUGUCCUGCACCCAGUGCACCCCAGUUCCUGUGCCCUACACCCAGUGCACUCCAUUCUUGCAUGCCCUGCACCCAAUGCACCCCUAUUCCUGUGCCCUGCACCCAGUGCACCCCAUUAAUGCACGCCCUGCACCCAGUGCACCCCCAUUCCAGUGCCCUGCACCCAGUGUAACACUGGGCACCCCCAUUCCAGUGCCCUGCGCAACACCCAGUGUACCCCACUUCUGCAUGCCCUGCACCCAGUGCUCCCCCAAUCUGGUGUGCCCUAUGCCCACUCCAGCACCAUGCACCCCAUCCCUGCACGCCCUGCACCCAGU